AGAGUUUGAUCUGCUCAGGACGAACGCUGGCGGCGUGCCUAAUACAUGCAAGUCGAACGCACUCUCGUUUAGAUUGAAGGAGCUUGCUCCUGAUUGAUAAACAUUUGAGUGAGUGGCGGACGGGUGAGUAACACGUGGGUAACCUGCCCUAAAGUGGGGGAUAACAUUUGGAAACAGAUGCUAAUACCGCAUAAAACCUAACACCGCAUGGUGUAGGGUUGAAAGAUGGUUUCGGCUAUCACUUUAGGAUGGACCCGCGGUGCAUUAGUUAGUUGGUGAGGUAAAGGCUCACCAAGACCGUGAUGCAUAGCCGACCUGAGAGGGUAAUCGGCCACACUGGGACUGAGACACGGCCCAGACUCCUACGGGAGGCAGCAGUAGGGAAUCUUCCACAAUGGACGAAAGUCUGAUGGAGCAACGCCGCGUGAGUGAAGAAGGUUUUCGGAUCGUAAAACUCUGUUGUUGGAGAAGAAUGUAUCUGAUAGUAACUGAUCAGGUAGUGACGGUAUCCAACCAGAAAGCCACGGCUAACUACGUGCCAGCAGCCGCGGUAAUACGUAGGUGGCAAGCGUUGUCCGGAUUUAUUGGGCGUAAAGCGAGCGCAGGCGGUUUCUUAAGUCUGAUGUGAAAGCCUUCGGCUCAACCGAAGAAGUGCAUCGGAAACUGGGAAACUUGAGUGCAGAAGAGGACAGUGGAACUCCAUGUGUAGCGGUGAAAUGCGUAGAUAUAUGGAAGAACACCAGUGGCGAAGGCGGCUGUCUGGUCUGUAACUGACGCUGAGGCUCGAAAGCAUGGGUAGCAAACAGGAUUAGAUACCCUGGUAGUCCAUGCCGUAAACGAUGAGUGCUAGGUGUUGGAGGGUUUCCGCCCUUCAGUGCCGCAGCUAACGCAUAAGCACUCCGC
rnacentral:rRNA from 2 species